AUGCAAAGCUGUUUGUUAGAAUACUGGUGCUUUCGGGUAGAAACUCUCAUCCAUAUCCUGACUUCACACAAGAUGGUAGCAACAAAUCAUAGGUAUGAUCACACCAAAUUCACAGAAGAUACAUUGAAAAAUCCUCAUCAAUACCUUCAAUCAAAAAUCUUACCCAAGUUAUGCUACCAAACAACAACUUGCUUUAGAAAUCAAUGCAGAAGAGUACAGAAUCCAGAUUUGGUUUCAGAAUCAAAGAGCUAGGCAUCGAUUCCAGAAAAGACCAGAACCUGAGACUUUAGAUUCAAGCCAGAGCCAUGGUCAAGAUCAACCUGGUGUGGAGUUUCACAGUAGAGAAGCCAGACGGUGUCAUACCAUCUAUAGCGCCUCUCAAUUACACACUCUCAUCAAGGCAUUUAUGAAAAACACAUACCCUGGGAUUGAUUCCAGAGAACAACUUGCUGAAGAAAUUGGUGCUCCAGAGUCAAGAGUCCAAAUUUGGUUCCAAAAAUCGAAGAUCUAGAUUUCAUCUCCAGAGAAAAGGGAACCUGUUAUGUCCUUAGAACAAGACCAGGGGCAAGAUUUCUGAGGGACUUCAAGGUACAGAAGAUACACAAAAUGGCACCAACCUCACUAGUACUCUCAUUUCUCUAGAGCCAAAACAUGGUGAACACAGUCAAGUUCAGUGUAUCUGAUAUUAUCAACUUGGGCCCUAUAUCUCUCUCACAGUCUUCCUGGGAGUCUAUCAUUCUGCUCAAAGUGCAAACUAAGCUUUCUGAAAAUGGUAAAGGACUUGGCUGGGUGUGGUGGCUCACGCUUGUAAUCUCAGCACUUUGGGAGGCUGAGGCAGGAAGAAUGCUUGAGCCCAGGAGUUUGAAACCAGUCUUGGCAGUAGAGUAAGACCCUGUCUUUAUUAUAAAUAAAAAGGACUGUAGGAGGCCAAGACAGGUACAGGAGGCACCACACUACCAUAUUGACACAGCCUGGAUCCAGAGUUCAGCAGACCUUGAGACAAUGAAAAUAAACUUAGUAAUAAUCAUUUUUCAAUCAUUGCAAUAAUUAUUGAUUUGGACAAAAAUCAGUUGACAUCAAAACCUUAAAGUGAAGCUGCUCUGCCUAUGGAGUAGCCAUUCUUUUAUUCCUUUAGUUUCUUAAUAAAUUUUCUUUCACUUAA